UACGAAGGGUGCAAGCGUUAAUCGGAAUUACUGGGCGUAAAGCGUGCGCAGGCGGCUUUGCAAGACAGAUGUGAAAUCCCCGGGCUCAACCUGGGAAUUGCAUUUGUGACUGCAAGGCUAGAGUACGGCAGAGGGGGAUGGAAUUCCGCGUGUAGCAGUGAAAUGCGUAGAUAUGCGGAGGAACACCGAUGGCGAAGGCAGCUCGCUGGGACGGUACUGACGCUGAGGCGCGAAAGCGUGGGGAGCAAACAGG
rnacentral:rRNA from 1 species